rnacentral:rRNA from 1 species
AGGACUAGCGCUGGCGGUGUGUCUUAGACAUGCAAGUCGGGCGGGAUACAUCGUGUAGCAAUACAGUGGUGUGUUAGCGGCGAACGGGUGAGCAAUACAAGGGCAACCAUCCCUCAGGAGGGGCACAACCCACCGAAAGGUGGGCUAAUACCCCAUGUUUUGCGGCGGAGGCAUCUCUGCCGUAACAAAGGCGCCGCAAGGUGCCGCCUCUGGACGGGCUCUUGUCCUAUCAGCUUGAUGGCGGGGUAACGGCCCACCAUGGCAACGACGGGUAGCCGGCGUGAGAGCGUGACCGGCCACAGGGGAACUGCGAUACGGUCCCCACUCCUACGGGAGGCAGCAGUCUAGAAAUUUGGGCAAUGGGCGAAAGCCUGACCCAGCGACACCGCGUGGAGGAAUGAAGUCUUUCGGGAUGUAAACUCCUGACAGGCGGAGCGAUGCCGUUUCGGAGUAACUGCCGAGACGGUGACGGUACUGCCAAAGGAAGCCCCGGCUAACUACGUGCCAGCAGCCGC